rnacentral:piRNA from 1 species
UAGCUAAUACAAACAAACUUGAUGGUU